UUCAUCUCUACUCUCUCUUCUUCAUCUCUCCUGUCGACUUAGAAUGCAAGACCACCACCCUCCUCCUCCACCCGCCUCCGCCACCACUUAAAAAACACAGUUGUCUGUCUUUUUAAUUCUCAACUUUAGCUCAAAAAACUCACACCCCUCUCUCUUUCUAUCUCUGCUCAGAAGUCAAAAUCCUGUCACUCAGAUGAUAUUUCCCUGUGUUCACAGUUUACCCAUUUUUCAAGCUUCCUUUCAUAUUAUUGUAGAUAGCAUUUUCAAGACAAACAAAAGCAGGGACUCCUUUACUGGUUUCUAGUUCUGGUGUUGGUGAUGGUAAAAUUGAAUUAAUGAAUCUUUUAUACUUAAUUUGACGUGAGGAAACGACGGUGGUUGCACAUUUAGUCCGGGCGGUGGUUGCACAUUUAAAGGGGAGGUGCUCUGCUGGGAGAAGAUAAGAAUAAGAGAUGAAGAAGAGAGAGAGAGAGUAGAGAUGAAGAAGAGAGCGAGUCUGGAUUUUUAAUUAAU
rnacentral:lncRNA from 1 species